GUCUCUGUCGAUCGAUUCACGUCUGUCCGACGCUGAACCGAAGUUGUCCAGCGAGUCUCUACAGGAGGAGUUAAUUUGUCCCUGUUUUCCUAAUUCAGUCAAGUGAGGGUGUUCAUCAGAGUUAUCCAAGAGAUGAGAUUUAUAAUCUCUUCAGUUUGUAUGGUUUUGUAGGAGUUCAAUUUGUCCCUGUUUUCCUAAUCCAGUCAACUGAGGGUGUUCAUCAGAGUUAUCCACAAGCUGAGGUUUAUAAUUUCUUCAGGCAACCAGCCGGGUUAGAAACAGCAUGGCUGCUGCCAGUGGCUCUGAUUUAUCUUCAGAAAUGGAGGUGGAUGCUUUUAGACGUCUUUUCCCUCUGUGUUUUCAUGAGCGCCAUCUGCUUAAAUCUAUUAGACCUGAUGGCAGGACCCUUGGAAAAGCUAGAGAUACAAUCAUAUCCCUUGGAGCUGUUACAUCGGCAAAUGGAUCUGCACUAACAAAGAUAGGCUGCACAACCAUGUUGGCUGCCAUUAAAUUGGAGGUUAUGACCCCUACAGUGGAGUCACCAGAUGAGGGAUGCAUAGCUAUAGAUUUUCAUAUGCCCCCAAUAUGUUCUCCUAUCGUUCGGCCUGGGAGGCCAGCAGACGCUGCUCCAGUUGUGGCAAAGCAGUUAUCUGACACUAUUUUGAGUUCUGGCAUGAUUGAUUUGAAAGAAUUGUCUUUGGUCAGUGGGAAAGCUGCUUGGAUGGCUUACUUGGACAUAUAUUGUUUGGAUGCUGAUGGUUCCCUUUUUGAUGCUGCAUUGCUUUCUGCAGUUGCUGCCUUUUCACAUUUGCAAAUUCCUGUAGUUUCUCUGAAUGACGAGGGAAGAAUUGUGCUUGUUUCUGAGGAUAAUGGGGGAGGGAAGUUGGAGAAGGAGCCAGUCAAUAAAGAAAAAAGGAAGCUCAAGUUGGCUACAAUACCAUUUUCCUUAACUUGCGUACUUCACAAGAAUUACAUCCUGGCAGAUCCUACAGCAGAGGAAGAGUCCAUAAUGGAGACACUUGUGACUGUGGUGUUGGAUUCCUCCAGUCAAUUGGUUUCUCUUUACAAACCAGGUGGCCCAGUUCUUGCCCACACGUCAGCUAUUCAGGAUUGCGUUGCAUUAACAAGACAGAGACUGAAGGAACUUCAAAAGAUCUUAAAUGAAGCAAUUUCUGAUAUGGAGGUGGACUAAAAGCAGGACUAAUUUAUGAAUCCGUCGGUAUCUAGGUUUUAAUGGUAUUUGUUUCUUCAUACCCUUUAGUUUCCUCGGUUGAUAAUGAAAUGAAUAGCAAAAUAUCACAGAGGACUGUGUGUUUAGCCAAUCUUUUUGCAGGGAUUAUAGUUGGAGAGGAAUUAGACAAAUAGCAAUUUCAUGGUUUACUGCUAUUUAGAUAACGCACAUUGACUUAAUUUGGCAAUCGGUGACGGUAAGUCUGAACGUUUGUCUUUUCCUUUUUUUCGCACAAAGCACAUGCAGAAAUUUGGCAUUAUGUUAAGUUUUUCCCUUUAGUGCAUUCAAUAGAAAUGCCCAAUAUGAUAGGUGGGCACAAAGCAUCUGAUGUUAUUUGCAUUAGAUUUACCCUGACAAAAAAAAAAAAAAAA